AUAAGUGAAGGAUUUAACGUGGAGCGUUUGCUUUGCUGCAUCAGGUACGUUCACAGUGCUCCUGUGAUGUGUUUUGCGGUUGACCGAGUGAAAUGUUGUCUGUUCUCAUCGCAUUACUUUCUACGGUAUGAAUUUUCUUCAAGGACGUUGUCAAGAAUUUGAUUUGAUGUUGACAGAGAUGAAGGUUUGACCGAUUUCACGUCAAGCACAGGAGCCCUACCACAAAUGCUGGAGAGUGCCGUCAAAUCCAGCAGUGAAGAUGAACAUCUAAGGGGACUCCCACAAUGGCUUGAGUACUAAUGCUGCUCGGAUAUGCUGUGUGUAUGGAAAGACUGAGGAGUUGAAAGCUGAUUCUACCCUGGAAAGGAGUAAUUUUCUCUUUUAGAGGGGAUGGAAGACCAAGCAGAUACUAUAUUAAAAAGUGCUACACAAUGAUGGUUGUUCUUGCAUAUCUUCUGCCACCGUUGCCUGGAAGUCGAUGCAAUGUUAAAUCUGAAAUUUCAUUUCUUUCAAUUUAAUUUUGUA